UUAACGAGUGACUUCACUGGUCACUGGUCACUGGUCACUGACCUGCAGGCUCCACUGGAUUAACCUCACUACAAACUCUGAUUAUUAUUUUUUUUAAAGGAACAAGGCUGGAAAAAAAAAGAGUAAAACAGUACCAGGAACUGACUGACUGUUGGCCAUUUUUGGACACUUUUGGAACUUUUAACUCGAUGGAAACCCACACAGAGCUGAAGACGUCCAUCUACACUGACUGCAGCUGUGAGAGACUCCUCCAGGUGCAGCUCUCUGCAGGUGAUGCCGCAGAAUGUCUCCGCCGUUUGAUGUGGAACAACAGAGAUUCGCUAUUGAGUGAUAGCUUCAAAUAGCAGAAAGAGUGAGACCCUGCGUGCCGCUCCCCCUACUUGAGCUACAUCAGAGAAAACUGACAUCCAUUAUGGUGGUUUUAAGCAGAGCAACUUUACACUCUCUCUGUGAACAGGCAGGAAAAGAUACUCGAAGCCCAUCCUGGCAUUUUUUUUCCACUCUUUUUAAAAAAAAAAAGUCACCACAAGUCUCAGGCGUCCAUCUGAACCAGAAGAGAUUAAACUCCGGAGACCAGGAGCCUAAAAGCAUUUCACUCUUUUUACCUCAACUUUUUGUCUCCGAGGCCUCUGUAAUUAUAACGCCCCUCUGAUGUAAAGUUUUUUUUUUUUCUUACUCAUAAUAAGUUUAGUCUUGUCCUUAAUUUGCUAUUUACAUCACCGGAAAAAAAAAUAAUAUUUUUUUCUUCUUUGCGAUGCUUCUUUAAGACUGAAUCUGAAGGAUAAGGACUUUUUUUAGUCGUAUUUUUUCCAUCCUGCCAACUUUGUUUUUUCAGAAGUGCUUUUUAUAUUUUUAAGAAUUUUUUUAUCAAAUAAAAUUCCUCACAAGAUUCCACUUUUCAUUACCUCCUUUAAAAAAAAAAUAUUGCAGACUUGUAUUUCAUAAUGGAACUUUUGCAGACGUGUGAUCUCGUGUACUUGUUCAAAUAUGCCACCGGGGAACAGCAUACACAGUAAACCUGCGUCUGAGGCAGGUGUCGAGGCGUUUAACCACCAGUGUCGCAGACGCGACAGCUUUAUUUAUCAACCAGACUGACAUACUGACAUCAUCAUCAUCACCAUCAUCAUCAUCGUCGUCACGACACACGCAGGUUUAUGGGGCGAGUAAGUAAAUAAA